GCAGUUGCGCAGGGGUACCGUCGAACAGAUACUCCUAGUCCUAAUACAGUAAUAUAAACUUCAAAAUGUUUUAACAAAAAUGAUAAAUAUUUUCAGAUAUUUAGAUCUACCAGUGCCCGAAAGAUUCCUUUUGGUUAUAUUUUGUGUAUGAGCAGAACUGAGAUUUACCUACGAUAUCCAUGUAUCACUUCUGCACUGAGCCCCGGUGUAUGUAUCUUGUCAUCGGCUAAUUCACAAGUCUGCAAGUUCCCGAAGUUGGAUCAAAAAAAUAGGCAAGAAGCGAAUAGAUAGCAGAAGCUUUUUCAAAUCAAGUAAACUGUCUGAGUGCCACGAUGAUGAUCAAUUUCAUCAGCUCUAUUGGAAGAGCAAAUUUGUCAUGAAGACAAACAACUGUUAUGGAUAGGAUUAUAGUAAAAGUGUUGUCAAGUCAAGGUUGCAGCAGUGCUUUAUUUUACGACUUCAUGUCCAACAAAUAUGUGGAACCCGCCUUUGUGUCCCACAAAUAUGU